rnacentral:lncRNA from 1 species
AAAAAAAAAAAUCUUAUUCAAAUCUUAGUUCUCAUUAUUAUUAAAAUGGAGUUAAAAAAAAAAUCGAUAAAAAUAUAGCACAUUUUGCAACACACAUUAUUAGGACUGUAUCUUAUAAACAUUUUAAACUAAAUAGCGUUAAGGAACAUUUUAACCGAUCUACUGUUUUUUUUUUUUUUUUUUUUUUUUUUGUUAACCCGUUAAUAAGUAUAUAUUAAAGGUGCUUAAAAAUAAACGCAUUUUUUACCAUUGUUUUUUAGGAGUUAGUAAAAAUCUUAAUGAACGUAUACUAGAAUCAUAACACAUUUCUAUAUAAUUUGUAAAAAUAAGAAACAGGUUUAUGUUAAAUGUUAUUUAGUAUAUUUUAUAACAAAAAAAAAAAAAAAAUUAGCAUCACUAUCAUUGUUUUAUUUUUUUUUUACCUUCAUUUCUAAGCAAAUAUAUAUAUUAUAAAUAAGUAAAAAUAAAACAACCUAAUAAAAAAAAGAAAAAUUAAUUAUUUUUUUUUCUUCCGAUUGUGUAGAUACACAUGUAUAUAGUAUAGUGAUAUUUUUUAACUUACAAUGUAUAAUUAUAUAUAGGUGCUUGUUGUUCUGUUAUAUAUAUGUACUAAGGUGUAUAUUUUAUAUAUAUAUAUGUAUAAAACAUACAUCUUACCUUAUCCUUUCUUUAUGUGUAUGAACACUUACUGAAUCAGGUAAAAUAAAAUAAUACCAUAGUCAUUUUAUACAUAGUAUAAAUUAACUUACCAUCAAAUAAUUUACUUUGAAUAUAUUUAUUCUUAUAUACUUCCCUUCUCUUUUAUUGUCAUAAUUAAGUUGUUUUUAUUUUUUUUUUUUUCUUAAUUUUAUUAAUAUGUAAAAGUGUGUCAUUUUUGUAUGUGUAUCAUUAAAUGAUGUAUGUAUAGGUAUUCAUGAGUGUCUUUUUUUUUAACAAAAAAUAUUUAUUUUCGUUUCGUUUUUUUUUUUUUCCUUUCCUUUUCUUUUUUUUUUUUUUUUUUUUUUGUUCGUUUGUUCACUUGUUUAUUUGCUCACUUGUUUAUUUGUUCAUUUGUUUAUUUGUCUGCUUGUCUGUUUGUUGUUUUCCAAUACAUGUAAAAAUGUAUAGAGUGUUGCCUAUAAUUUUAUUUUCGUUUUUUAACUUCAUACUCGAUAUAAAUUGUUUUGUUAAAGAUUAUGAUGACGUGAAAGACUUAAAUAAUUGCUCAAGUAUUCACUGUUCUUAUAAUAACUUAUCAGAAAUAUACAAAAAUUCUCAAAGUAUUUUAGCAGAGCUAGAGAAUUUAUUGUAUGAUGUGCGUAAUCAUAAAAGUAUGCAUCAGACAGAACAUGAAUACAAUAAAAAAUUGGACUUUGAUAUAAAAUUUCCAAAUAAAACGGAUUAUGAGGAUUUGUCAUAUUUUCCAUCAGAAGAU